UAGGGAAUCUUCCGCAAUGGACGCAAGUCUGACGGAGCAACGCCGCGUGAGUGAAGAAGGAUUUCGGUUCGUAAAACACUGUUGUUAGAGAAGAACAGCGCAUAGAGUAACUGUUAUGCGUGUGACGGUAUCUAACCAGAAAGCCACGGCUAACUACGUGCCAGCAGCCGCGGUAAUACGUAGGUGGCAAGCGUUGUCCGGAUUUGUUGGGCGUAAAGCGAGCGCAGGCGGUCAAUUAAGUCUGAUGUGAAAGCCCCCGGCUCAACCGGGAAGGGUCAUUGGAAGCUGGAUGACUUGAUUGCAGAAGAUGAGGGUGGAAUUCCAUGUGUAGCGGUAAAAUGCGUAGAUAUAAGGAGGAACACCAGUGGAGAAGGCGACUCUCUGGUUUGUAACUGACGCUAAGGCUCGAAAGCGUGGGUAGCAAACAUG
rnacentral:rRNA from 1 species